rnacentral:lncRNA from 1 species
GUACAUUACUACUGGGCUGAAAGUGGGCCCAAACUGGCCCAACCAAGGGCCACUGGGUUAGGCCAGCUCCGGAUUGAGCUAUAGGCUAAGUCUGAAAGAUUUUGGACUAAGUUUUUGUUUAAAUAUGGUGCACGUAUAACUUUGGGACAGGACUUGGGUAUAUCAUUGGCCCCGCUCGAGCUAGGCCAAGCCCAAGCCUGAAUGAGACCC